GUCUUUGUAGUAUAUUAAAUACACUGGUCUUGUAAACCAAAAAAGGAGAAUACUAACCUCCCCAAGACU
rnacentral:tRNA from 1 species